AAGGUUUUAAGUUAAAAAAACUAUUAGCCUUCAAAGCUAAAAUUAAAGUAAAAAUUUUAAACCUUA
rnacentral:tRNA from 1 species